rnacentral:rRNA from 1 species
AUGAUACCUCAGCCUGGUGAUAACGUUACUAGCUUCACUGGGAAACGCAUCUGGGAAGUUUUUGCACCUGGGCAAAUGAUGGAGGGUGAUGUUGUGCUUGACUAUACGUUUUACGGUGCUGAAAAUAAAGUGUUCAAUGUGGAGAGUGCAGCGAGAGAUUUCAAGAGCUAUGUCAAAGAAAAGGAAGACUUGCUCACUGCCGACCUUAUCAUGAUGCCUCUAUUCAAGCCUAUGGUUUUAUCAAAGGAUAAGAAAGUGAACCACUUUUCCUUAUAUGUCAUGAAUCGGUACCGAAGUAGCAUCGACAUCCUUGACUCUUUACCUUAUCCGAAGAACCAUCGUCCUUCAAAGAACACCUAUCAUAAAGACUGCGAGAAGAUUAUCUCCAGGAUGGUCCAAGUAAUGAAGGCUUUUUAUGGUGAUGCUCAGUACAAUGCGAGCAAGCAACCCAAAUGGGAGCUUUUUGCAAAGAAACCAACAUUUGUGAAGGUUCCACUUCAAGGGACGAAUGAAUGUGGCCAUUAUACUCUGAAGUAUGCGGAAUGCUAUGAUGGUGAAAAGAUCGUUGGGAACAUUCGAGAUAAUGAUCCUCGUAUUGUUGAUUGGAAUGCUGAGGAUCUGUAUAGAGUUGUGUUCAACCGGAAUAACCAGCUUCUGGUGACGGAGCUUCCCAAGGAGUUUCAGCCUUUGGCUCUUGGUGCAUAG